rnacentral:rRNA from 1 species
UACGUAGGGUGCAAGCGUUGUCCGGAAUUAUUGGGCGUAAAGAGCUCGUAGGCGGUUCGUCACGUCGGCUGUGAAAUCCCGAGGCUCAACCUCGGGUCUGCAGUCGAUACGGGCGGACUCGAGGCCGGUAGGGGGAAGUGGAAUUCCCGGUGUAGUGGUGGAAUGCGUAGAUAUCGGGAGGAACACCAGUGGCGAAGGCGGCUUCCUGGACCGGUUCUGACACUGAGGAGCGAAAGCGUGGGGAGCGAUCCGG